CAGGGAAUAUUGCACAAUGGGCGAAAGCCUGAUGCAGCGACGCCGCGUGAGGGAUGAAGGCUCUCGAGUUGUAAACCUCUUUCAGUAGGGACGAAGCGAAAGUGACGGUACCUACAGAAGAAGCCCCGGCCAACUACGUGCCAGCAGCCGCGGUAAUACGUAGGGGGCGAGCGUUGUGCGGAUUUAUUGGGCGUAAAGAGCUCGUAGGCGGCUUAGCAAGUGGGUCGUGAAAUACCGAGGCUCAACCUCGGCACGCCGGUCGAAACUGCUACGGCUAGGGUCCGGUAGAGGAGGGUGGAAUUCCCGGUGUAGCGGUGAAAUGCGCAGAUAUCAGGAGGAACACCAGUAGCGAAGGCGGCUCUCUGGGCCGGUACCGACGCUGAGGAGCGAAAGCGUGGGGAGCAAACAGGAUUAGAUACCCCCGUAGUCC
rnacentral:rRNA from 1 species